CAGUAGCCGCGGGAAUACGUAGGUGGCAAGCGUUGUCCGGAAUUAUUGGGCGUAAAGGGCUCGCAGGCGGUUUCUUAAGUCUGAUGUGAAAGCCCCCGGCUCAACCGGGGAGGGUCAUCGGAAACUGGGAAACUUGAGUGCGGAAGAGGAGAGUGGAAUUCCACGUGUAGCGGUGAAAUGCGUAGAGAUGUGGAGGAACACCAGUGGCGAAGGCGACUCUCUGGUCUGUAACUGACGCUGAGGAGCGAAAGCGUGGGGAGCGAACAGGAUUAGAUACCCCUGUAGUCCCUGUCUCUUAUAC
rnacentral:rRNA from 1 species